GACGAACGCUGGCGGCGUGCUUAACACAUGCCAGUCGAACGGAAAGGCCCUGCUUUUGUGGGGUGCUCGAGUGGCGAACGGGUGAGUAACACGUGAGUAACCUGCCCUUGACUUUGGGAUAACUUCAGGAAACUGGGGCUAAUACCGGAUAGGAGCUCCUGCUGCAUGGUGGGGGUUGGAAAGUUUCGGCGGUUGGGGAUGGACUCGCGGCUUAUCAGCUUGUUGGUGGGGUAGUGGCUUACCAAGGCUUUGACGGGUAGCCGGCCUGAGAGGGGGACCGGCCACAUUGGGACUGAGAGACGGCCCAGACUCCUACGGGAGGCAGCAGUGGGGAAUAUUGCACAAUGGGCGGAAGCCUGAUGCAGCAACGCCGCGUGCGGGAUGACGGCCUUCGGGUUGUAAACCGCUUUCGCCUGUGACGAAGCGUGAGUGACGGUAAUGGGUAAAGAAGCACCGGCUAACUACGUG
rnacentral:rRNA from 1 species